rnacentral:lncRNA from 1 species
GGGGUCUAUGGAGGGCUAUGGGGGGAUAUGGGGGGAUAUGGGGGAAUAUGGGGGGAUAUGGGGGGCAUUGAGGUCAUAUGGGGGAGAUGGGGGCAGUUGGGGGGGCUAUGGGGGUCUAUGGAGGGCUAUGGGGGGAUAUGGGGGGGUUAUGGGGGGAUAUGGGGGGUAUUGAGGUCAUAUGGGGGGCUAUGGGGGUCUAUGGGGGGGCUGAGAGGGAUAUUGAGGUCUAUGGGGGGAAAUGGGGGGCAUAUGGGGGGGCUAUUUGGGGUAUUGGGGUCUUACUGGGGGGUCUAUGGGGGGAUGUGGGGUCAUAUGGGGCAGCUAUGGGGCAGCCAUGGUGCAGCUAUGGGGCAUCUAUAGGACAUCUACGGGGCAGCCAUGGGAUCUCUAUGGGACAUCUGUGGGGUAUCUAUAGGACAUCUAUGGGACAUCAAUGGGGUAUCCAUAGGACAUCCAUGGGGCAGCCAUGGGGCAGUUACGGGGCAGCUAUGGGGCAGUUACGGGGCAGUUAUGGGGCAGCUGUGGGGCGGCUGUGGGUCGCACCUGGCAGCCCCAGCUCCAGGAAGGGGCAGCUGACCAACACCAACUUGCUGAAGUUGAACUUGUAGGUGAAGCGCUUCCCCUUCGUCUUGUGCAGGAUGCGCUUGUUGUAGUAGUACCUGCGGGGGCACCGUUAGGGGGUUAGGGGG